AUGGGUUCGAGGAUAGCUUUCUCUUGUUGUGCUCUGCUACUGGUCACACUGCUGCCUCUUUCGGCGAAUGCGUCGAGCAAACUCUACAUAGUGUACAUGGGGGAGAAGAAACAUGACGAUCCAUCUGUUGUGACCGCGUGGCACCAUGACAUACUAACCUCCGUACUUGGGAGCAAGGAUGAAUCCUUGAAGUCGAUGGUUUACAGUUACAAGCACGGAUUCUCUGGGUUCGCGGCAAUGCUCACCAAAACCCAAGCAAGGACUUUGGCAAACUUUCCUGAAGUUAUAAGUGUGAAACCUAACACCUACCACAUGGCGCACACAACUCGGAGCUGGGACUUCCUUGGCCUUGGGCACAACAAAUCACCACAACAAACUGACCUCCUACGAAAAGCGAAUUACGGUGAAGAUAUCAUUGUCGGGGUGAUCGAUUCAGGCAUAUGGCCUGAAUCACAAAGCUUUGACGACAACAGAUACGGCCCUGUGCCGGCACGGUGGAAAGGCAUAUGCCAGACCGGAACAGCGUUCAAUGCAUCGAGUUGCAAUAGAAAGAUCAUCGGCGCACGGUGGUACUCUGAGGGAAUUGACGCCAUGCACCUCAAGGGUGAGUACAUGUCGCCUCGGGAUUUCAACGGCCAUGGAACUCAUGUUGCCUCGACGAUUGCCGGAGGAGAAGUGCAAGGUGUGAGUUAUGGCGGCCUAGCCACCGGCAUGGCACGUGGCGGGGCACCGCGUGCACGGCUAGCAAUUUACAAGGUGUUAUGGGGCCCGAACACGGCAGCCAGUGACGCGGACAUCCUCGCAGCCAUUGACGAUGCCAUACAAGAUGGCGUGGAUGUCCUGUCGCUCUCACUGGGACGGGGUGCCGGUCACGAGUUCCCCGGGACACUUCAUGCAGUCUUGAGAGGGAUCUCAGUUGUCUUCUCUGCCGGGAAUGAUGGUCCGGCACCACAAACGGUGACGAAUGUCAUGCCAUGGGUGACGACAGUGGCAGCUAGCACGAUGGACCGGGCCUUCCCAACCCUCAUAUCUCUCGGAAACAAAGAAAAGCUUGUGGGACAAUCUCUUUACUACAACUCAACUCUGAACAGCGACGGCUUCAAGGAGCUUGUUCACGCGGGAAGCUGCACCGCGGAGUGGUUAGCGUCAAACAACGUGACCGGCAAGAUCGUCCUGUGCUACGCACCAAGGCUGGCGCCCAGCGUGCUGCCUCGAGUAGAGCUGUCCCUCACCAUCAAUCGUACUGUGGGUGCCGGAGCCAAGGGCCUCAUCUUUGCGCAGUACACCACGAACCUCCUGCCGAUAUGCAAGGGCGGCAUGCCCUGUAUUGUAGUAGACUACGAAAUUGCACAGAGAAUUGAAUCAUACUUGGCGAUCACAGAGAGUCCAAUCGUGAAGGUGUCACCUGCCAUGACCGUUGUCGGAGACGGGGUGUUGUCGCCAAGGGUUGCUUCAUUCUCGUCCAGAGGCCCGAGUCCUCUAUUCCCAGGCAUACUCAAGCCCGACAUAACUGCACCAGGCGUCGGCAUCUUGGCAGCUAUGCGCGGCUUCUAUGUGUUAAUGGAUGGUACAUCAAUGGCAUGCCCACAUGUCUCUGCAGUUACCGCACUUCUUAAGUCGGUUCACCCUGACUGGUCGCCUGCUAUGAUCAAGUCUGCAAUCGUCACCACGGGUAUGUACACUGUGUAG
rnacentral:rRNA from 1 species